rnacentral:rRNA from 1 species
UACGAAGGGGGCUAGCGUUGCUCGGAAUCACUGGGCGUAAAGCGCACGUAGGCGGAUUGCUAAGUCAGGGGUGAAAUCCUGGAGCUCAACUCCAGAACUGCCUUUGAUACUGGCGACCUUGAGUCCGGGAGAGGUGAGUGGAACUGCGAGUGUAGAGGUGAAAUUCGUAGAUAUUCGCAAGAACACCAGUGGCGAAGGCGGCUUACUGGCCCGGUACUGACGCUGAGGUGCGAAAGCGUGGGGAGCAAACAGG